AUGAUGCAAUAAUGAAAGGUGUUAUACGUUGGCAACUUCUCGCUCUAAUCCGCCGUCUUGAACUACCUUAGGAGAAACUGUGUUGUUUCUUUGCUAUUUUCACUGAACAUUUCCCAAAAUAUUAGAAAAAAAUUCUAAACAAGCUACAUUGAUUCAAUUUUCGUUGUUCGUUUUGUUCUUAUUCGCUGACAUUUGUUUUCUAAUUGCGUGAAAUUUGGUAAGUAUUGUAAUAAAACCGAAUUAUUUUACAAAUAAAUUAUAAUUUUGCAUUUAUUAGGUCAUUUCCUUAGUGUUUUCCUAACCGACCUGUGCUGGUAUUGUGAUUAAGAGCUAAUACACAUUUUUCGGACGAUUCUGCUGUGCUGCGUUCCUGCUCCGCCUGUAUAUUAUAGUGUUGCGUUCCUGUUGCGCCUUUGCAUUAGUGUGUGCGUUGUGAUUUAGACACGUUGAAAUUUUUUGUAUGCUUCUGCUGUGCUGCGUUCCUGCUCCACCCGUGUAUUAGAUUGCUGCGUUCCUGUUAACAUACAUAUCAUCGCUUAAAGUACAAAACCGCGUAACUGACAUUUGCUGCUAUAAAUUGGAUUCGCUCACACACGUUUUUGGCUCAAUCCUUAUCCAUUCUUCCUGAAAUAUACUAGCCAAAAAUGCGAUUGCUUUUUACAAAAAGAUAACCAUUUUGAAAUGUGAGUGUUUUUACUCUCUAGAAAUAAAUUUAUGCAACCUCGCAUACGUGGGUUUGCAUUAUCUCUAUACGCGGUUUUGCAAUUUAUUGAUACAUGGUUUUGUACUUUAACCGACGAUAUGUAUGUAGAUGUAU